GGGUUGUGAGGUUAAGCGACUAAGCGUACACGGUGGAUGCCCUGGCAGUCAGAGGCGAUGAAGGGCGUGCUAAUCUGCGAUAAGCGCCGGUAAGGUGAUAUGAACCGUUAUAACCGGCGAUACCCGAAUGGGGAAACCCAGUGUGACUCGUCACACUAUCAUUAACUGAAUCCAUAGGUUAAUGAGGCGAACCGGGGGAACUGAAACAUCUAAGUACCCCGAGGAAAAGAAAUCAACCGAGAUUCCCCCAGUAGCGGCGAGCGAACGGGGAGGAGCCCAGAGCCUGAAUCAGCAUGUGUGUUAGUGGAAGCGUCUGGAAAGGCGCGCGAUACAGGGUGACAGCCCCGUACACAAAAGCGCAUGUGCUGUGAGCUCGAUGAGUAGGGCGGGACACGUGGUAUCCUGUCUGAAUAUGGGGGGACCAUCCUCCAAGGCUAAAUACUCCUGACUGACCGAUAGUGAACCAGUACCGUGAGGGAAAGGCGAAAAGAACCCCGGCGAGGGGAGUGAAAAAGAACCUGAAACCGUGUACGUACAAGCAGUGGGAGCACCCUUCGGGGUGUGACUGCGUACCUUUUGUAUAAUGGGUCAGCGACUUAUAUUCUGUAGCAAGGUUAACCGAAUAGGGGAGCCGGAGGGAAACCGAGUCUUAAUUGGGCGUUAAGUUGCAGGGUAUAGACCCGAAACCCGGUGAUCUAGCCAUGGGCAGGUUGAAGGUUGGGUAACACUAACUGGAGGACCGAACCGACUAAUGUUGAAAAAUUAGCGGAUGACCUGUGGCUGGGGGUGAAAGGCCAAUCAAACCGGGAGAUAGCUGGUUCUCCCCGAAAGCUAUUUAGGUAGCGCCUCGUGAAUUCAUCUCCGGGGGUAGAGCACUGUUUCGGCUAGGGGGCCAUCCCGGCUUACCAACCCGAUGCAAACUGCGAAUACCGGAGAAUGUUAUCACGGGAGACACACGGCGGGUGCUAACGUCCGUCGUGAAGAGGGAAACAACCCAGACCGCCAGCUAAGGUCCCAAAGUCAUGGUUAAGUGGGAAACGAUGUGGGAAGGCCCAGACAGCCAGGAUGUUGGCUUAGAAGCAGCCAUCAUUUAAAGAAAGCGUAAUAGCUCACUGGUCGAGUCGGCCUGCGCGGAAGAUGUAACGGGGCUAAACCAUGCACCGAAGCUGCGGCAGCGAACGUAUCACCCAAGACAACUUUACGGAGUUGACGAUUGACGGAGCGAAGCGACGUCAAAGCGUUCAUUAAAGUCGAGUUGGCUUAGGGAUACGUUCGUUGGGUAGGGGAGCGUUCUGUAAGCCUGUGAAGGUGGCCUGUGAGGGUUGCUGGAGGUAUCAGAAGUGCGAAUGCUGACAUAAGUAACGAUAAAGCGGGUGAAAAGCCCGCUCGCCGGAAGACCAAGGGUUCCUGUCCAACGUUAAUCGGGGCAGGGUGAGUCGACCCCUAAGGCGAGGCCGAAAGGCGUAGUCGAUGGGAAACGGGUUAAUAUUCCCGUACUUGGUGUUACUGCGAAGGGGGGACGGAGAAGGCUAUGUUGGCCGGGCGACGGUUGUCCCGGUUUAAGCGUGUAGGCUGGUUUUCCAGGCAAAUCCGGAAAAUCAAGGCUGAGGCGUGACGACGAGGCACUACGGUGCUGAAGCAACAAAUGCCCUGCUUCCAGGAAAAGCCUCUAAGCAUCAGGUAACAUCAAAUCGUACCCCAAACCGACACAGGUGGUCAGGUAGAGAAUACCAAGGCGCUUGAGAGAACUCGGGUGAAGGAACUAGGCAAAAUGGUGCCGUAACUUCGGGAGAAGGCACGCUGACACGUAGGUGAAGUGAUUUACUCAUGGAGCUGAAGUCAGUCGAAGAUACCAGCUGGCUGCAACUGUUUAUUAAAAACACAGCACUGUGCAAACACGAAAGUGGACGUAUACGGUGUGACGCCUGCCCGGUGCCGGAAGGUUAAUUGAUGGGGUCAGCGCAAGCGAAGCUCCUGAUCGAAGCCCCGGUAAACGGCGGCCGUAACUAUAACGGUCCUAAGGUAGCGAAAUUCCUUGUCGGGUAAGUUCCGACCUGCACGAAUGGCGUAAUGAUGGCCAGGCUGUCUCCACCCGAGACUCAGUGAAAUUGAACUCGCUGUGAAGAUGCAGUGUACCCGCGGCAAGACGGAAAGACCCCGUGAACCUUUACUAUAGCUUGACACUGAACAUUGAGCCUUGAUGUGUAGGAUAGGUGGGAGGCUUUGAAGUGUGGACGCCAGUCUGCAUGGAGCCGACCUUGAAAUACCACCCUUUAAUGUUUGAUGUUCUAACGUGGACCCGUAAUCCGGGUUGCGGACAGUGUCUGGUGGGUAGUUUGACUGGGGCGGUCUCCUCCUAAAGAGUAACGGAGGAGCACGAAGGUUGGCUAAUCCUGGUCGGACAUCAGGAGGUUAGUGCAAUGGCAUAAGCCAGCUUGACUGCGAGCGUGACGGCGCGAGCAGGUGCGAAAGCAGGUCAUAGUGAUCCGGUGGUUCUGAAUGGAAGGGCCAUCGCUCAACGGAUAAAAGGUACUCCGGGGAUAACAGGCUGAUACCGCCCAAGAGUUCAUAUCGACGGCGGUGUUUGGCACCUCGAUGUCGGCUCAUCACAUCCUGGGGCUGAAGUAGGUCCCAAGGGUAUGGCUGUUCGCCAUUUAAAGUGGUACGCGAGCUGGGUUUAGAACGUCGUGAGACAGUUCGGUCCCUAUCUGCCGUGGGCGCUGGAGAACUGAGGGGGGCUGCUCCUAGUACGAGAGGACCGGAGUGGACGCAUCACUGGUGUUCGGGUUGUCAUGCCAAUGGCACUGCCCGGUAGCUAAAUGCGGAAAAGAUAAGUGCUGAAAGCAUCUAAGCACGAAACUUGCCCCGAGAUGAGUUCUCCCUGAGACUUUAGGUCUCCUGAAGGAACGUUGAAGACGACGACGUUGAUAGGCCGGGUGUGUAAGCGCAGCGAUGCGUUGAGCUAACCGGUACUAAUGAACCGUGAGGCUUAACCUUACAACGCCGAAG
rnacentral:rRNA from 1 species